GCCCAGGUGGUGAAAUUGGUAGACACGCACGCUUGAGGGGCGUGUGGGAGCAAUCCCGUGGAAGUUCGAGUCUUCUCCUGGGCACCA
rnacentral:tRNA from 4 species